ACGGGGAGCACCACAACAGGUGGAGCCUGCGGUUUAAUCGGACUCAACGCCGGGAAACUCACCAGAUAAGACAGCUGAAUGAUAGUCGGGCUGAAGACUCUACUUGACUAGCUGAGAGGAGGUGCAUGGCCGUCGUCAGUUCGUACUGUGAAGCAUCCUGUUAAGUCAGGCAACGAGCGAGACCCACGCCAACAGUUGCCAGCUCGUCCUCCGGGAUGGAGGGGACACUGUUGGGACCGCCUCUGCUAAAGAGGAGGAAGGAAUGGGCAACGGUAGGUCAGCAUGCCCCGAAUUAUCUGGGCUACACGCGGGCUACAAUGGGUGGGACAAUGGGUAUCGACACCGAAAGGUGAAGGCAAUCUCCUAAACCCAUCCUUAGUUCGGAUUGUGGGCUGCAACUCGCCCACAUGAAGCUGGAAUCUGUAGUAAUCGUGUUUCAAAAUAGCACGGUGAAUAUGUCCCUGCUCCUU
rnacentral:rRNA from 1 species